rnacentral:lncRNA from 1 species
CCAUCAGAGCUUGCUGCAGUAUCUCCCACCCAUGGGUGUACAAAAUUGGAGCUUUUAUCCACAGGAAUGGAACUUGGAUUCAUCCUUUGCCUGGGUCUAUUAGUGUCUUUUCAUCAAUGCAUCAUUGUUCCAUUGGGACAACCAUACAGUAACCAAAAAUGUUGGCUGAAGAUCAGGGACUAUAUUACACACACAAUAUACUGUGUAUAUAUAUACGCACACACACACGAUAUUGUGUAUGUACAUAUACACCCACACAUACACACACGAUUAUAUUUUCCUGAAGUAGCUUCAGAACAGCUUCAGAGCCAUGAAGGUGAAAGGCAGUCUUUCGUUAUAAUGUUGGGGGACUUUAGGCCUCAGAAGACAGAACUGCUCUCUCUGACCUUCUUCAUCUACCUUUCACCUGCUUCUUUUUCUCCCCAAGGCAGGCUGUAGAAAUGAAAGAUAUAUUCUAAUUUCCCCCCAUCUUUCUGUCUU